GGGGACGACGAGGAGAAGGAGCAGGUGACGCACAAGUUUAAUCCUGAAAGCCGGCAUGCGUACCUCACUGGUUUUCGAAAACGGAAAAUUGAGCGAAAACACAAGGGUAACACUGCAGUCGCUGAGCUUGA
rnacentral:ribozyme from 1 species